GGUGAGCCCACAACUACAUGUGGGGAACUGUUUGAUGUCACAAUAAUCUGAAUAGGCUCCCCUUCACCUAGUAGCUAGAGAAGCCUGAGGGGCGGCCCUCCCCUUCACCUUGUUGCUAGAGAAGCCUGGAGGGUCUGGCACUUUCAGCCCCUUUCACUCGGCUAAGCACCCUGCUGUGGGCUUCCCUUUCUUUCCCGCUCAGGCCAGCCCCGCCCCCACCCCAAAGCCGUUCGAGGUCUUUGUAUCAGCCGAGAAAGGAGGAGCCGAAAUUAGAUUGUGUGGGAGGUCAGCAAAGAAGAGGGAGAGGAGCCCCCAGUGGUCUGAGGUUUCCUAAGUGACUUUGCAGGUCCUUCCUAACCCCUGCCCCCACAGGACUCCCCUGCACAUUCCGCUGCUGUAACAGUACAGUUAGCCAGCACAAAAGAAUCCAAGCAAGAUAUACUAGGAGCCAGGGAUGCCGCUCAACGGAAAUGGAUCUACACAGUUGGCUUCUUGGGCUCAUUAUCGAAUGAAGAAGCCACGUGUCGGAACACUGACCAGCAGAUUGGCUUGGAGGAAGCUGGUCGAUUUGGGAAAGCUUAUCUGUAUUAACAGAAACCAAUUGCUGUUUUAGUUCAAGCAAUAAAUAAUGCUCUUCUAAACAUAGAGUGAAGUAUAUUUUUAAAAUAGCUGCGGAAUCGAAGGUCAAAAUGAAAGUAGGGUAAGGUGAUUUCUGUGA